UACGAAGGGGGCUAGCGUUGCUCGGAAUCACUGGGCGUAAAGCGCACGUAGGCGGAUUGCUAAGUCAGGGGUGAAAUCCUGGAGCUCAACUCCAGAACUGCCUUUGAUACUGGCGACCUUGAGUCCGGGAGAGGUGAGUGGAACUGCGAGUGUAGAGGUGAAAUUCGUAGAUAUCUGGAGGAACACCGGUGGCGAAGGCGGCAUCCUGGACCGGCAUUGACGCUGAGGCGCGAAAGCCAGGGGAGCAAACGGG
rnacentral:rRNA from 1 species